GGGGAAUAUUGCACAAUGGGCGAAAGCCUGAUGCAGCAACGCCGCGUGAGUGAUGAAGGUCUUCGGAUUGUAAAGUUCUGUUGUCAGGGACGAACAAGUACCGUUCGAACAGGGCGGUACCUUGACGGUACCUGACGAGAAAGCCACGGCUAACUACGUGCCAGCAGCCGCGGUAAUACGUAGGUGGCAAGCGUUGUCCGGAUUUAUUGGGCGUAAAGCGCGCGCAGGCGGCUAUGUAAGUCUGGGGUUAAAGCCCGGGGCUCAACCCCGGUUCGCAUCGGAAACUGCAGAGCUUGAGUGCAGAAGAGGAAAGCGGUAUUCCACGUGUAGCGGUGAAAUGCGUAGAGAUGUGGAGGAACACCAGUGGCGAAGGCGGCUUUCUGGUCUGUAACUGACGCUGAGGCGCGAAAGCGUGGGGAGCAAAC
rnacentral:rRNA from 1 species